UACGGAGGAUCCAAGCGUUAUCCGGAAUCAUUGGGUUUAAAGGGUCCGUAGGCGGUCAGGUAAGUCAGUGGUGAAAGCCCAUCGCUCAACGGUGGAACGGCCAUUGAUACUGUCUGACUUGAAUUAUUAGGAAGUAACUAGAAUAUGUAGUGUAGCGGUGAAAUGCUUAGAGAUUACAUGGAAUACCAAUUGCGAAGGCAGGUUACUACUAAUACAUUGACGCUGAUGGACGAAAGCGUGGGUAGCGAACAGG
rnacentral:rRNA from 1 species